rnacentral:lncRNA from 1 species
CAAUGUGUUGUACAUAGUAACCCUUUGAAAACAGUUUUGUACUCACUCAAAAAACAUUUCUUUAUGGAGGAUCAAAGUUCAUGAUCAAAUGAACUGAACUACUUGUUCUUGGCAGGGAACAGCUCCCUCAGAGGCCCAACCAGGAUGAGGCAGAGCCUUUCAAGAGAGAUAAAGGAAAACAGAAGAAGCUGUGAUAAAGUCCCUCAAGCUUCAUGUGGCUGUACCUCCAGAGGCACCUGAGGGUUCCUACACUCUGAGAGGUAGGUAUCUGAAAGCCUCAAGGAUUUUUAGUGUUUUUUUUGUUUGUUUGUUUUUAGGAACCACUGUUCUUCCAACUCCCAAUACUGAUCAGGAGGCAUAGAUUCCCACUACUCUAUGUGUGAUAAAAGGUUUCUAAUCAGGAAAAAGAAGACCUGGGAAGAAUUAUUAGAGUUGGUGGCAUCUGAUCCAGCCCUCAAAGUAUAAAACAUUGGUGAAUGUGUGUCUCAGAUACACACUAGGACCAAAACUGUGCUUUCUAAAUUGUUCACCUUCUGCCAUAUCCAUAGACAGAGGCUGCCAAACACCUGUUUCAAAGUAAGGAAAGAAAUUCAAAGAGAUGAACAGGAGGCACUUACAUUAAAAAGAAUGUAGGUUGUAUCUGUAUUUCCAACAUUUAGAAACUUAUAUUUGUGACUGUGACUCAGAUAAAAAAAGGUCUGUGAAUCUCCCCCCAAAUCAUCUCUUCCUUGCC